AUUGAACGCUGGCGGCAGGCCUAAUACAUGCAAGUCGAACGGGUCGCGGACGGGUGCGUAAGGUCUGGGAAACUGCCUAAUCGAGGCGUCUAACGGCUGGAAACGGUAGCUAAUGCCGCAUAACGUCGGAUGUGCCCAGAUGGGAUUAGCGCGUAGGUGGGGUACAGGCUCACCUAGGCGACGAUCCCUAGCUGGUCUGAGAGGAUUACCGGCCACACUGGAACUGAUACACGGUCCAGACUCCUACGGGAGGCAGCAGUGGGGAAUAUUGGACAAUGGGCGAAAGCCUGAUGGAGCCAUGCCGCGUGUAUGAAGAAGGCCUUCGGGUUGUAAAGUACUUUCGGCGGGGAGGCGUUACCUGCAGAAGAAGCACCGGGUAACUCCGUGCCAGCAGCCGCGGUAAUAC
rnacentral:rRNA from 1 species